rnacentral:rRNA from 1 species
GAUGAACGCUGGCGGCGUGCCUAAUACAUGCAAGUCGAGCGAAUGGAUUAAGAGCUUGCUCUUAUGAAGUUAGCGGCGGACGGGUGAGUAACACGUGGGUAACCUGCCCAUAAGACUGGGAUAACUCCGGGAAACCGGGGCUAAUACCGGAUAACAUUUUGAACCGCAUGGUUCGAAAUUGAAAGGCGGCUUCGGCUGUCGCUUAUGGGUGGACCCGCGUCGCAUUAGCUAGUUGGUGAGGUAACGGCUCACCAAGGCAACGAUGCGUAGCCGACCUGAGAGGGGGAUCGGCCACACUGGGACUGAGACACGGCCCAGACGCCUACGGGAGGCAGCAGUAGGGAAUCUUCCGCAAUGGACGAAAGUCUGACGGAGCAACGCCGCGUGAGUGAUGAAGGCUUUCGGGUCGUAAAACUCUGUUGUUAGGGAAGAACAAGUGCUAGUUGAAUAAGCUGGCACCUUGACGGUACCUAACCAGAAAGCCACGGCUAACUACGUGCCAGCCGCCGCCGUAA